rnacentral:lncRNA from 1 species
AUGGUGGUGUGUUAUAAGUACCUUAUUUAAAAAGAGAUAAUAUAUCAAAAGAAACCGACUGUUCCUAGAGCAGAUGGUAAUGGACUUGAUAGUUGGUAUCCGAGAUCCCAAGUUCAAAUUUUAGUUAAUUCACAUUUACAAUUAAAUUUAUUUCUAAAUAAAAUAAACGAAACAAAAAAAAUGAAAAUAAUAUAUCGAAAGAGACCAACUCCUACCACUGUUUUAUUCUGCGAGUCCGACUAAGACUAGUGCUAUUAGAAAUAUUUUACUAUAAUUUUUAUUUUUCUUGUUUUACUAAUUUUACAGCAAGAAUCAAAAAUUAUUAUUAUUAUUAUUAUUAUUAUUACAAUAAAUAGGCCCCAAAAGUCAUAAUUUUUGGUGUGACGCUGUUGACUGGGCAAAUGGCUGGUUUGACUCAUUUAAAGCUUCUACAUACGAGCUCAUUGAAUAGUGUUCCCACGAGCCACUGCUCCAUGUCAGAUCUGUGUACAAUUCCAUUGGCUUUUUGUUCAUAAAGUGAUCGUACAAGUGCAGCAGAAUUUUCUUCGUUUGGGAGUAAUCAGAUUUGGUUUGGCAUGUGAUUAGAAUUUGAUGCCCAAAAUAGACAAAAGGGCAUUUACAAAAGGAGUAGUUGAUUCGAUGUUGUCUUAGUUUGGAUUUGAUGCUUAAACAUAUUUUAUUCUACA